rnacentral:rRNA from 1 species
GAUGAACGCUGGCGGCGUGCCUAAUACAUGCAAGCCGAGCGAACAGACGAGGAGCUUGCUCCUCUGACGUUAGCGGCGGACGGGUGAGUAACACGUGGAUAACCUACCUAUAAGACUGGGAUAACUUCGGGAAACCGGAGCUAAUACCGGAUAAUAUAUUGAACCGCAUGGUUCAAUAGUGAAAGACGGUUUUGCUGUCACUUAUAGAUGGAUCCGCGCCGCAUUAGCUAGUUGGUAAGGUAACGGCUUACCAAGGCGACGAUGCGUAGCCGACCUGAGAGGGUGAUCGGCCACACUGGAACUGAGACACGGUCCAGACUCCUACGGGAGGCAGCAGUAGGGAAUCUUCCGCAAUGGGCGAAAGCUUGACGGAGCAACGCCGCGUGAGUGAUGAAGGUCUUCGGAUCGUAAAACUCUGUUAUUAGGGAAGAACAAAUGUGUAAGUAACUAUGCACGUCUUGACGGUACCUAAUCAGAAAGCCACGGCUAACUACGUG